rnacentral:tRNA from 1 species
CGCGAGGUAGAGCAGCGGCAGCUCAUCUGGCUCAUAACCAGAAGGUCACGGGUUCGAGUCCCGUCCUCGCUA